GUGUUUGCUUUGGAAGCACAUAUAUUAAAAUUGAAAUGAUGCAGAGGAUACUAGAAGGGCCUCAAUGUGAGGAAAACAUGAAAUUCAUAAAAUAGUUCACAUUUUUU